ACUUGGACUUUUGAUGUCAUUUGGAUUCUGAAUGACUUUGCUUCACACACAAAUGAAUGGAUUACACUCAUCCUUCUGUGGGUUAUUAAUCUGUCCUGUUCAAGAACACUUGUUAGACGAGGGCUUUGACAAAAUUAAAUAAUUCAAGUGUUUCUUGUUUUCUGAGAAACCCCUUCAUUUCCACUCACAGGUGCAAUUUUCUAUAUAAAAUGAAACUCCUUUUCUUCUACUUAACACACGCAAGUAUGAUUUAUGAAACGUUACUCAGGUAAGACAAGCUUAUUUUACACUUUAUUUACUCAGGACAGAACACUCAUGGGAGAAAUAAAUGAGAUAGACAGGAUGAUCCAUAGCUGGAGACAUGACUUUGUGCCACAGCCAGAAAGGGCCUUUAGCAUUACAGACCAUUGAUCUCAGGAAAACGGGAUGUGUGCUGGAUUGAGCAACUGGAACAAACCACGCAGAGAGGCUGCUCAUGCUGGCAUCUGCGAGAAGAGGUUGGUUGGCUUUGAAGCAUGAAACUGGCUCUAGGCUGAGCACCUGCCUACCAUCCCAGGCACUUGUUGCAUCGCCCACAGCGCUUUCCCUGCGCCGGCUGGGCAGCAAUACACCUGCAAGACGACAAGAGGAGCAUGCUGGCUGCCUUGGGUUAUAGGAGACAGCGCAGUGAAUCACUGUGGGUUUUUUCCACCCCGAGCCAGCCGAGCUGUAAGAUGUCCUCUCUCUGCCGGCUGCAAGGCUCCGCAGCGCCUUUGCCGGGGAGUGAUGCGAGCGCCGGGCCCAGGGCUCGCAUACCGCGCUUGGCAGAGCGGACACGGGCCGGGCUCCCCCCGUGCUUACGGCACGCCCUCCCCUCCCCCCCCCUCCCUCCCCCCCUCCCCUCCCCUUCCCUUCCCUUCCCUUCCCUUCCCUUCCCUUCCCUUCCCUUCCCUUCCCUUCCCUUCCCUUCCCUUCCCUUCCCUUCCCUUCCCUUCCCUUCCCUUCCCUUCCCUUCCCCGCAGGAAGGGCCGGAGGGAGCGGAGCCGGCGGAGCGGAGCUCUUCCCCCUCAGGGGCCGGGGCCGAUCGCCCCCCUCAGGGGCCAGAGCCCCUCGCCGCCGCCGCCGCCUCGUUUAGCGCAGCUUCCCUGCCCAAACCACCGCCGCUGCCCCGGCCGGGGCUCUCCGUGCCGGGCCCCAGCAGCACCGAGCGGGGCAGGGCGGUGGCUCCCGGUUCCCAGCCCCGCUAGCGCAGGGCCCGGCGCGGCCCCGCCCGGCGAGGGGCGGCCGGGGGGCCGGGCGGGACGCACCGCCCCCUCCACCUGCUGCCGCUGCGCCAUCGCCGGCUGGGGGAGCCGCCUCCCGCUCGUCCCCGCGGGCCCCUUUGUGCUGCUGCUGCCGCUGCUGCUGCUCCGGAGCUGCCUCAGCCAGGCGGCGGCUGCGUCACGGCCCCGGCGCUGCGGCCGCCCCGAGCCACCCGCGGAGCGAGAGCCGCGCCUCGCCCCCCUCUCCGCCAUCGCUGCGCCCCGAGCCAGGGCCGGCAGCCGGCGAAAAAUCCCUCUAUCCUGGAAGAAUGGUGAAACUGGGGAAUAA
ensembl:lncRNA